rnacentral:rRNA from 1 species
AUGGUACACUGCCUGCAAAGAGAGCUUGGUUUUGCCUCUCCCCCUCGCAAAGAAGGCCUAUCAAUCUGUGGUUACUUAUACUUAGUUGCUAGCUUGGUAAAAGAAGAAGGCACGACUCAUACAAGAGAGACGCUGAGAAGAGAUGAAGAUGAAGUGGCGGUGGGUCUCCUCGUGGAUGACGCGCGCGAGUGUCGGGUCCGGUCCGACGGCGUGUGGCGGUCAGACAACGAGGAGCGCGUGCUCUGCAAUUUAUGUUAUCUUCGUGUGAUGCGCAUCGGUUGUCAUUUUGUUCAUUUAUUAUGGUUGGUACGCAGACUAGUGUACAGGAGCACUAAUAUUUAA